rnacentral:rRNA from 1 species
GGUGAGUAACACGUGGGUAACCUGCCCAUAAGACUGGGAUAACUCCGGGAAACCGGGGCUAAUACCGGAUAACAUUUUGAACUGCAUGGUUCGAAAUUGAAAGGCGGCUUCGGCUGUCACUUAUGGAUGGACCCGCGUCGCAUUAGCUAGUUGGUGAGGUAACGGCUCACCAAGGCAACGAUGCGUAGCCGACCUGAGAGGGUGAUCGGCCACACUGGGACUGAGACACGGCCCAG